AGAGUUUGAUUCUGGCUCAGAACGAACGCUGGCAGCGUGGAUUAGGCAUGCAAGUCGAACGAGAAGCCGCGAGUUCAAUUCUUCGGAAAAGUUCUUGCGGUGGACAGUGGCGGAAGGGUGAGUAACGCGUGGGCAAUUUGCCCUCUUGUUGGGGACAACCUCGGGAAACUGGGGCUAAUACCGAAUACGGUCUCUUGUCGCAUGACAGGAUGAUUAAAGGUGGGGAUUCUUCGGAACCUGCCGCAAGAGGAGGAGCCCGCGUACGAUCAGCUUGUUGGUGAGGUAAUGGCUCACCAAGGCUACGACCGUUAGCCGGCCUGAGAGGGUGAUCGGCCACACUGGGACUGAGACACUGCCCAGACUCCUACGGGAGGCUGCAGUCGAGGAUCAUUCGCAAUGCGCGAAAGCGUGACGAUGCGACGCUGCGUGUAGGAUGACGGCCUUCGGGUUGUAAACUACUGUCAUAAGGGAAAAACGACCGCGAGUUUUAAUACGCUCGUGGUGUGAUGGUACCUUAAGAGGAAGCCACGGCUAACUCUGUGCCAGCAGCCGCGGUAAUACAGAGGUGGCUAGCGUUGUUCGGAUUUACUGGGCGUAAAGCGUACGUAGGCGGCGUUGUGUGUCGGGUGUGAAAUCCCACGGCUUACCCGUGGAACUGCACCCGAAACUGCAGUGCUAGAGUGCAGGAGGGGAGAGCGGAAUUCUUAGUGUAGCGGUGAAAUGCGUUGAUAUUAAGAAGAACGCCGGUGGCGAAGGCGGCUCUCUGGAAUGUUACUGACGCUGAGGUACGAAAGUUGGGGGAGCAAACAGGAUUAGAUACCCUGGUAGUCCCAACCGUAAACGGUGUGAACUUGGUGUAGGGGGUAUUGACCCCCCCUGUGCCGGAGCUAACGCGUUAAGUUCACCGCCUGGGGAGUACGGCCGCAAGGUUAAAACUCAAAGAAAUUGACGGGGGCCCGCACAAGCGGAGGAGCAUGUGGCUUAAUUCGAUGCAACGCGAAGAACCUUACCUGGGCUUGACAUGGCGACCCUUCGGGGGUGAGAGCGAAAGUUCUCUUUACGAUCACAGGUGCUGCAUGGCUGUCGUCAGUUCGUGCCGUGAGGUGUUGGGUUAAGUCCCGCAACGAACGCAACCCUUGUGGUUAGUUGCCAUCGUCGGUGUUAAGCCGACAGGCACUCUAGCCAGACUGCCCGUACAAGCGGGAGGAAGGUGGGGAUGACGUCAAGUCAGUAUGGCCCUUACGCCCAGGGCUGCACACGUGCUACAAUGGCCGGUACAGAAGGAAGCAAUACCGCAAGGUGGAGCUAAUCCCCAAAGCUGGCCCCAGUUCGGAUUGGAGUCUGCAACUCGACUCCAUGAAGUUGGAUUCGCUAGUAACGGCGUAUCAGCUACGACGCCGUGAAUACGUUCCCGGGCCUUGUACACACCGCCCGUCACAUCAUGAAAGCCGUCUGCACCCGAAGUCGCUGAGCUAACCCGCAAGGGAAGUAAGUGCCGAAGGUGUGGGUGGUGAUUGGGAUGAAGUCGGAACAAGGUA
rnacentral:rRNA from 1 species